AGUGAACGCUGGCGGUAGGCCUAACACAUGCAAGUCGAACGGAAGCACAGUAAGAGCUUGCUCUUACGGGUGGCGAGUGACGGACGGGUGAGGCAUACAUCGGAAUCUACUAUUUCGGGGGUGACAACGUAGGGCAACUGACGCUAAUACCGCAUACUUUCUACGGCAGGAAGCAGGAGAGCUUCGGACCUUGCGCGACUGAAUGAGCCGGUGUCGGAUUAGCUAGUUGGCGGGGUAACGGCACACCAAGGCGACGAUACGUAGCUGACCUGAGAGGAUGAUCGGCCACACUGGAACUGAGGCACGGUCCAGACUCCUACGGGAGGCAGCAGUGGGGAAUAUUCGACAAUGGGCGCAAGCCUGACCCAGCCAUGCCGCGUGGGUGAUGAAGGCCUUCGGGUUGUAAAGCUCUUUUGUUGGGAAAGAACAGCUGCAUGUUUAUCCGCCGCUGUCCUGACGGUACCUAAAGAGUAAGCCCCGGCUAACUUCGUG
rnacentral:rRNA from 1 species